rnacentral:tRNA from 1 species
GCCGGGGUGGCGGAACGGCAGACGCAGCGGACUUAAACUCCGCGGCCGCAAGGCAUGAGGGUUCGAAUCCCUCCCCCGGUACCA